rnacentral:rRNA from 1 species
AAAGAAACCAACAGGGAUUGCCCUAGUAACGGCGAGUGAAGCGGCAACAGCUCAAAUUUGAAAUCUGGCCCUCCUGGGGUCCGAGUUGUAAUUUGUAGAGGAUGUUUCGGGCCAGGCUGCGGGAUAAAUCCCUUGGAACAGGGUGUCAGAGAGGGUGAGAGUCCCGUCUUUAACCGCGUGCUGCGCCCAUGUGAAACUCCUUCGACGAGUCGGGUUGUUUGGGAAUGCAGCUCAAAAUGGGUGGUAAAUUUCAUCUAAAGCUAAAUAUUGGCCAGAGACCGAUAGCGCACAAGUAGAGUGAUCGAAAGAUGAAAAGCACUUUGAAAAGAGAGUUAAACAGCAUGUGAAAUUGUUGAAAGGGAAGCGCUUGCAACCAGACUUGUGGGCAGCGGUUCAGCCGUUAUUCUUAACGGUGCACUCUGCCUGCUUCCAGGCCAGCAUCAGUUUAGACAGUCAGUUAAAGGCCUCGGGAAUGUAUCGUCCCUCUGGGGAAGACUUAUAGCCCUUGGUGACAUCUGGCUCAGCCUGGACUGAGGGACCGCGCUUCCGCACCGAUGCUGGCGUAAUGGUUGUAAGCGGCCCGUCUUGAAACACGGACCAAGGAGUCUAACAUCUAUGCGAGUGUUCCGCUCGUUAACCCCUUGCGCGCAAUGAAAGCGAACGGAGGCCGGGAGCCCCUCGGGCGCACCAUCCACCGA